rnacentral:rRNA from 1 species
AAUGAACGCUGGCGGCGCGCCUAAUACAUGCAAGUCGAGCGAGAAGACGUAGCAAUACGUUUGUAAAGCGGCGAACGGGUGAGGAAUACAUGGGUAACCUACCCUCGAGUGGGGAAUAACUAGCCGAAAGGUUAGCUAAUACCGCGUACGCUUCUUGGACUUCGGUUCAGGGAGGAAAGCGAUGCCGAGGGUAUCGCGCUCUUGGAUGGGCUCAUGUCCUAUCAGCUGUUGGUGAGGUAACGGCUCACCAAGGCUUCGACGGGUANCUGGUCUGAGAGGACGAUCAGCCACACUGGCACUGCGACACGGGCCAGACUCCUACGGGAGCAGCAGUAAGGAAUAUUGCGCAAUGGGCGAAAGCCUGACGCAGCGACGCCGCGUGGGGGA